GAUGAACGCUGGCGGCGUGCCUAAUAUAUGCAAGUCGAGCGAACGGACGAGAAGCUUGCUUCUCUGAUGUUAGCGGCGGACGGGUGAGUAACACGUGGAUAACCUACCUAUAAGACUGGGAUAACUUCGGGAAACCGGAGCUAAUACCGGAUGAUAUUUUGAACCGCAUGGUUCAAAAGUGAAAGACGGUCUUGCUGUCACUUAUAGAUGGAUCCGCGCUGCAUUAGCUAGUUGGUAAGGUAACGGCUUACCAAGGCAACGAUGCAUAGCCGACCUGAGAGGGUGAUCAGCCAAACUAGAACUGAGACACGGUCCAGACUCCUACGGGAGGCAGCAGUAGGGAAUCUUCCGCAAUGGGCGAAAGCCUGACGGAGCAACGCCGCGUGAGUGAUGAAGGUCUUCGGAUCGUAAAACUCUGUUAUUAGGGAAGAACAUAUGUGUAAGUAACUGUGCACAUCUUGACGGUACCUAAUCAGAAAGCCACGGCUAACUACGUG
rnacentral:rRNA from 1 species